rnacentral:rRNA from 1 species
UACGUAGGCAGCAAGCGUUGUUCGGAGUUACUGGGCGUAAAGGGUGUGUAGGCGGUUGUUUAAGUUUGGGGUGAAAUCUCCCGGCUCAACUGGGAGGGUGCGCCGAAUACUGAAUGACUAGAGUGCGGGAGAGGAAAGUGGAAUUCCUGGUGUAGCGGUGAAAUGCGUAGAUAUCAGGAGGAACACCGGUGGUGUAGACGGCUUUCUGGACCGUAACUGACGCUGAGACACGAAAGCGUGGGUAGCAAACAGG